rnacentral:snRNA from 8 species
AGCUUUGUGCAGUGGCAGUAUCAUAGCCAAUGAGGUCUAUCUGAGGCGCGAUUAUUGCUAAUAGAGUAAGUCUCAAAAUCAAGCAGUGUUACUCCUCCAACUUUGGUUUUGUAAAAAAAGAUUUUGUUUUCCUGGCUAAAUUCUAGGUCGUUUGUGUUCUCAUGAAAAUUUUAGAAUCAGUUUUUCUG